ensembl:lncRNA
GAUGGUGUGAGGAAAACUCUAGGAGAGGUGCUGCUGCUGCUGCUGCUAAGUCGCUUCAGUCGUGUCCGAGUCUGUGCGAUCCCACAGAUGGCAGCCCACCAGGCUCCCGCCGUCCCUGGGAUUCUCCAGGAGAGAACACUGGAGCGGGUUGCCAUUUCCUUCUCCAAUGCAUGAAAGUGAAAAGUGAAAGUGAAGUUGCUCAGUCGUGUCCAACUCUUAGCAACCCCAUGGACUGCAGCCUACCAGGCUCCUCCGUCCGUGGGAUUUUCCAGGCAAGAGUACUGGAGUGGGGUGCCAUUGCCUUCUCCGAGGAGAGGUCACCGCCUCCGGGACUCCCGGCAGCCGCCUCGGGCCCUCGUGGGUCCCGCAUCUGACACCCCCUCCCGCCCCCGCCCCCUACCCGCUCCGAGACUGGGGUCAAAGGCAGCCCGCGUCACGUGGUCGCCGAGCAGCACCGAAUCGGCCGGGAGAGCCGAGGGAGAAUCCGGGUGGAAGCCGAGAAAUCCAGCCCCGAUAGCAGCGCCCAGUCCCGCCCCGGCCCCCGCCCCGGGGUGCUCGCCGCACGCCCGCCGGCCGCUCGGGCCUCCGGCGCCGAUCUCCGGCCGGCACCCACGCUCCACCAGGGGAUCGAAACCCGCCUCCACCGCCGAGAUUCGGGGAGGUUCUCGGAAGCAAGGACACCCCCGCUUUGAACGCUGCCCUUUAACAACCUGGGACGAGGUAAGAAGGGGGCGUAUGUGGACGCGAGGGCUCGGGGACAAACUGGGAAAUUGGGGACUGGCCUCCUGGCUCUUUCCCAGACUCAGGCUCCCGUGGGUCAGCGAGGAGCCAUGCCAAGCCCUGGGGAUACAGAGCCCCACCAUCACACCCCGGUGCUGUACCCACCCGCCCAGAGCAUUUGGAAUGGCCUGGGCAUUAUUUUCCCUGGUUUGAGGUUCAGAUUGACCCGAGUGCCUGUCAUACAGCCCAGCUGUGUAAGCUUGGGCCGAUUCCUUACCUUCCCCUAGCCUCAAUUUUCUCACCUGUAGAAUGGGCAAAGUGUAAGAACGGGUCAGGAUAAGAAUGAAAUGAGGUACCUUAGUAAACAGGAGCAUGCUUAUAUUCAACAAGUAUGUGUCCUAUGUGUACUAUACGCCGGGCCCUGGGCUAAUUGCCUUAUAUACUUCAUCGCGUUUAAUUCUACCACGUGACCAUCAGCAACAUUUUACAGAGGGGCAAACUGAGGCACAGAAAUUGGGAAGGUUACACAGGUGAGAAGCAGUGGAGCUUGGAUUUGACUCCCCUCCCCCAGCCUGAGUCUCAACUACAGGGCUCUAUAAGAUCUGCUGUGACUGAUCUCAUUUUCCUUUGAAAUUAUCAGGACACCCUCGGCCUUUCCCUUACCCCCAGGUGUUGCUCCUGCCUUGGUUCUUAUUAUUGUGGGGGGCUGGAGCCUGGGCCUGGCGCUGGAUAAUGGUCCAAGUUCUGUUGCUGGCUGGGACCAUGGCAGCAAGUCGCUUGUCGUGCGGGUGGUGCAGGGAGGUGCUCUGCCCGGCUCUGGCCGGGGACAGCUGGCGGCUGUCUCUUCCCAGCACCCGGGGGACUGAAGAGCUUUCCAACUCCAUUCGGACCAGGUCACUUUCAGAUCAGCAAGGGGCAGAGGUAGGGCCAGGAGCGGAGCCCUUGGGGUGAUGAGAAACCUAUGGCCAAGGGACUUAUGUUCAAGGUGUCCUCUGGUGUGACUCAUUGGCAGGGUCCUCAUUGCAAAGGUGGUGGGCUGCUUUGGAGCCCCAACCCCAAGCGUCCUUGAGGAUAGUCAUGAAGGGUGGAGUUUGAGCCCAUGUCUCGAUUGCAGAAUCCUCAUGGAAACUGCAUGGGUUUCUGAGCCUAGAGGACACUGUAGGCCCUCAGUAAAUAGCCCAGGAAUGAAUGUGGGGUGGCCUAGACUUUGACUUGCAUAAGUGCUCUGUGCUAGCCCAGUCUUCUAGUGGCGGUACCAUUCCAUGACUAUGGAUCAGGCUCUGAGCAGGGACCUUGAGAAAUUUAU